CUACGGGAGGCAGCAGUGAGGAAUAUUGCACAAUGGGCGAAAGCCUGAUGCAGCAACGCCGCGUGCGGGACGAAGGCCUUCGGGUCGUAAACCGCUUUUCUGAGGGACGAGCAAGGACGGUACCUCAGGAAUAAGUCUCGGCUAACUACGUGCCAGCAGCCGCGGUAAAACGUAGGAGGCGAGCGUUAUCCGGAUUUACUGGGCGUAAAGCGUACGCAGGUGGCUGUGCAAGUCGGACAUGAAAGCUCCUGGCUUAACUGGGAGAGGUGGUUCGAAACUGCACGGCUUGAGGUUGGGAGAGGGACGUGGAAUUCCCGGUGUAGUGGUGGAAUGCGUAGAUAUCGGGAGGAACACCAGUGGCGCAAGCGGCGUCCUGGCCCACACCUGACGCUGAGGUACGAAAGCGUGGGGAGCAAACAGGAUUAGAUACCCUGGUAGC
rnacentral:rRNA from 1 species